rnacentral:misc_RNA from 1 species
GAUGAAGAACGCAGCGAAAUGCGAUAAGUAAUGCGAAUUGCAGAUUUCAGUGAGUCAUCGAAUCUUUGAACGCACAUUGCGCCUCCUGGUAGUCCGGGAGGCAUGCCUGUUCGAGCGUCACCAAAUCCAACUCAAGCGGUUUUGCGCUUGGUCGUGGCGGAAGAGUCGGUCUGGUUGCCGUCUCCCCUCCGAAAAUCAACGGCGGAAAGUCACUGGCAGUCAGCGUAGUAGUAUCGUUCGCCGAACAUCCAGUGGCAUUCCUGCCGACGUACCCCCACAAUUCUCGUGAUUGACCUCGGAUCAGGUAGGGAUACCCGCUGAACUUAAGCAUAUCAAUAAGCGGAGGA